rnacentral:rRNA from 1 species
UACGUAGGGGCCUAGCGUUGUCCGGAAUUAUUGGGCGUAAAGAGCGUGUAGGCGGCCUGAUAAGUCGGUUGUGAAAGUCAGGGGCUCAACCCCUGGAUGCGGGUGGAUACUGCUGGGCUAGAGUCCGGAAGAGGUGAGUGGAAUUCCUGGUGUAGCGGUGAAAUGCGCAGAUAUCAGGAGGAACACCGAUGGCGAAGGCAGCUCACUGGGACGGUACUGACGCUGAGGCGCGAAAGCGUGGGGAGCAAACAGG